AUCAUUCAAACAAAUUUAAAUUUGAUUACAUAUGACAAUUGUCAAACAAGAGAAGCCAAAUCAUUUAAUCAAAUAGGAGUUUGCAGAGUAAAAACAGAAUUGUCAAUAAAAAAUUUUAUUCAAAAAAGUUUUCAAUCUAAAAAAAAUUAAAUCCAUAUGAAAUCAAUGUUUUCUACGAGUUCUUCAACUUAUUUUAUGAAUUCACUCCAAAUUAAA
rnacentral:lncRNA from 1 species